rnacentral:lncRNA from 7 species
AAAAGAGCUCCCUAAAGGAAUACUCUGUCUAUUUGAAGCCAGAAGGAUACUAUCCAAGGAAGCCAAUUUGCUUUGAGCUGUAGAGCUGUACCAUAAUAAGUGUCAGAGAUUUCCGUGCUCUCCGCCCAUGUGUGGGUAUUGAGAACUGCAGCAUUUAUGUGUAUGUGAGGAUAACUGCCUGUCAUAUUAAUUGCUGCAAUACAUCUUCAAGGUUCUGUUUGCAGCUAUGGGAAAGUGCACUGAAAGUUGGUUUUGAACUUUUUCUGAAAGCAGGCAGAAGUCUGUUCAUUCUCCUGUACUAUGGGAAAAAAGAAGUUCAAAGAACUGGAACAUUUGCCUUAAAAAUGAUGAUCUCCCUGGCAAAAUAAAUUACGUCUUGGAAUUAUGUCAAGACUUUUAACUGAAGAAAGAGUUUCAAAACAAUCUUUGUGCAAAAUGAAGCUCACUUUCUCCUUUUAAUUCAUCGUUCUGCCUGCUAAUUCUCUGGGUGUUUCUGUCUGUAAGUCAAGCAUAUGCUCUUUCUCUUGCUCUCUGGAAGGGUUCCAAAGGUUGGGGGGAAGUCUUCCAGGAAACCUUUCCAAAACAUAUUUAGGGCUUGUUCUUCCUGUGCAGAUAAAACCCUCAGAUGUGUAUUAAUACAGUCUAACUGAAGCUGGAAAAUACAAUAUUUGGUUUGGGGCAUUUUUUUUUUAAUUAAAAGAUAGAGACUUAUUGCUAUUUUUCCUGUUAGAAUUUGCAUCAAGAGGUUUAGUUCUUUGUUAUUUCAUUGUUUCUUUCAGUGAGUUCCAGAUGUGCGAAUCAUUUGAGAUUUAUCUUAGUAUAAAUGUUUAUUUGAUCAAAUAAUUUUGUUGCAUUCUGAGACAUCCUUAUCAGAUUAGCAGAUGGAAAUGAAUGUAGUCUCUACCUUUCAUGACGGCAUUCUAUAUGGCUGUGUUUUGAAAACUUCUGUCUUCUCAGAGUUACAAAAAUAAUCCAGAAUAAAUGAUCU